CCACCUCAGCCGCGAGCCCGUGUGCUCUCCCGGGAGGCUCCUUGGCCGCCAGGUGCGUUCCCGCGGCGGGGCGGGCCCCUCACCGUAAGCGAAGCUCCAGCCGAAUUUGCCAAGUGAAUUCGGGAGACGUGGGCCCCGAGGUGGGAAAACGAGACGAAAGCGCGCGCCAAUCAAUCUUCACUGCUCAUAGAGGACACCUAUUUGGGUGUAACAAAACGACAUCCAGAGCUUAUCCAGAUGAGCAGAGAGCAACAGAAUUGCCUUCUGCUCCUUUGUUGAAGAGGAGAGAAAAUUCUUCAACCCGUAAGUGCUGAGAGAGCAUCAUACUAUUCUUUAUGGUAGAUUAAUUUCAGCACCACGAGUUCCUAGGAGUGCAGAGUCCAGGGCAAAUCAUACUUUUGUAUAGAGGUCAAAUCAAGUUCAAAGGGCGAGCUCUUGAGGGGAGCCGGAAGCCUCCAAAUACCCAACUGAAAUAGAGGCUGUGCAAAUGGGGCCUGCAGCCCCUGGGAACUUGCCUAGGUGACUGGGAUGAGAAUGGUUGUGGGCUCAUUUUAAGCCACUUCUUUCCUCCCUGAGGCUACUUCUCAGGGUCGUUCCUGACCACAAAAUUUAGGACAGAGAAUCACAAUCACCCCAAUACUUUGAUGUCAUAGGGACCGCCCUUGACCAGGAUCAGCUUCGUGGGCAUGCAAAGGGCCUCAGGCUUACGAAAGCCCUGCAUUUGGUUCAAUGCUCUACUUUCUCGGUCUUAAAAUUCUUUAUACUUCCUGAACAAGGUGCUUCACUUAUUUAUGCACGUAUAGACCUUGUGAACAAAGCCAUGAAGCAUUUUUAACACAAGGAAACCACCAGUGCCUCAUCUUAUUGCACUUUUACCAGUGAUAAAUGAGUCAAACGAAUUUAGGGCUGGAAACAAUUAGGCUGAGAUUAAAAUGAGCCCAAUUUUUAAUAGAAAUUAAAUUUUAAGUGCACUGUGUUAUUGCACUUCAGGGGUCCUUUUUUUUUUUUGUUUUUGUUUUUUUUUUUUUUUUUUGAUAUCUAUGGUUUCUUCUUUCUGCCUCACUGACCAGAAUAUUUUGAGAAUAGCAAAAUGUGGUUUGCUAGAAUUUCAAACCAAACACACAGAGUAACUACAUAGAGUUUACUAUAGGGUUUUUGAUAUUUUGUUGUUGUUCAAGUGAGAACACCUGGGUGCAAACCAAGGUUUUGGAUAAUAGUGUAUCUGUUCUACUGAGGAGGGCUGGUGCGAGGCCUACACACAAGUGUGAAGAUGGUGAGGCUCACCUCUGUACCUCCUCUCUCAACAUCCCUUUAGCCUGUUCUGUUUGUACUCCUUUCUGUUCAUCCCCAAAAUGGUUAGGUUUCUGGAAAACCUGCAUGUAAAUUCUUCUGCUCCCCCUGCCAACACGAUCUGACCCAAAAAGCGACAUCCCAUUUCUAUGUGGUUUGUUCUCAGUUGACUUUCAUGGUUAGAAAGCUAUCUGAUAAAUAACCGCUGUGAAAUUAUUUAGCUGGCACUGACCUAAGGUGUGGAUUCUCCUUAGGGUGCUUUGUGCUUUAAUAUCUGCAGGCCUUUGGUUGUACCUCGCAGGGAGCUGCCGUUGUGUCUGCUUGUGUAAUAGCUGCCACGAUGGCCACGUGUGGCUGGGAGGACAAGCCCUGUAACUAUUGCUUUAGUUCAGGCUGAACCUGAUGAGCUCAGUAGCUCAUCCAGACUAAUGAUUCAGACCUUGCCACCCUGUCCCACUUACAGCAGAUGCUAAUGUACAGAAAGAUGAUGUACUUGACAUAACCCCCAUGCUCCUUCCCCAGCCUUCUUGCUGACUUUGCUUCCUAGGUCACUGAGAAAAUAGAAGUAAUUACCAGAGAACUUUCACAAGCUCCCAGGGCAGCUCUCCUUUGCCAGCAGCUGCCCUCCCACGUACUUUCUGGCUGCGCUCCUUCCUAAUGAUUGAUUAUCCAUGUUCGGGUUUGAAGUCACUGGAUCCCAUCAUCACUUCCCUGCUCAAUGUCACCCCUCCAGCAAUUCACCUCUCUCUUCUGGAUCAUUCCCAUCAACGUGCACAUAUGCCAUUCUUUCUUUUAUCUUACAAACAAUAGGAAAAAGAACACAUCCUCUCUCUUGACCCCACUCCCUGCUCAGGCUCUUGUUCAUUUCUAUUUUCCCUUCACAUCAAAACUCCUUGAAAAGCUUACUUAUACUUGUCUUUCCAACGUCUUGCCUUUCAUUUCUCCUCAACCUACUUUGGUCAAGUGUUUGUUCCUCACGCCAUGAAAACUGUUCCUGUCAUGUUCACCAGUGACCUCCAUGCUGCUCAACCCCAUGGUGAAUUCUCAGAUUUCACAUCACCUGACCUGUCAGCCACAUUUGAGACAGUUCGUUGCUCACUUCCCCUUGAACACUUUUCGUCACCUGGCUUCCAGGACCUGGCGCUCCCAAUUUUCUUCCUACCUCACUAGCUGCUCCUUCUCUUUCCUUUGCUGACUCUUCCCCAUCUCCCUGUCCUCUUAACAAUGGAGUGCUCCAAGGAAAGUUCCUCCAACAAUUUUUCUUCUAAAUCUACACUUACUGCCUUGGCCAUCUCAUCUAGCCCCAUGGCUUUAAAUAUCACCUAUAGGUGACAUACUCUCAAAUCUAUCUAUAGCCCAGACCUUUCUCUUGAACUCUAGACUCAUCCAACUAUUUAUUCCACUUCAGUGUCUGGUAGGCAUCUCAUGCUUACUCUUGAUAGGUCCAUUCUUGAUCUUCCUUCCCCCUCAAUCUAUUCUCACUAGGCUGGCCAAUGUGAUUCUAUCAAAUCUAUUGGAUAGGGUGGAUCACACCACCCUUUUAUUUAAAACUCCCUAAUGCCUUCUGGUCACUCUCAGAAUAAAAGGCAAAGUCCUUACCAUGCCUUAUUACACUCCACCCAGUCAGCCCCAAGUCCUCUUUGCCUUCUUUCCCUAGCACUCAUUCUGCUGUAGCCACACUGCCUUCUAGCUGUUCCUACUCAUGCCUAAAGGCCUUCCCAUUUGCUCUUCUGCUUCCCCAGAUAGCUCAUUCCCCAGAUGUCUGCACGGAUUGUUCCUUUGCUUCCUUCGGAUCUCUGUUCAAACAUUACCUUCUCAUUCAGGCCUUCUUUGACCAUCCUAUUAAAAUUACAAUGCUCCUUCCUACCCACCUUCCCUAAUUUCUCUCUCUCUGUGACACUCUAACUCCAGGUUUUUCUGUUUUAUUUCAUGAUCUGUCUCUCUCACCCCAGAAUCUAAGUUCUGUGAGGGAUGGAAUCUGUUACCUGAUGUAUCAUGAGUGGUCAGGUCAGCACCUGGAGCCAUAGUAGGUGCUCAUUACAUAUUUGUUAAAUGCAUGAUGAUUUAUCUUUCCACCAAAGAACAUGGCCUGCACAUCCUCUCCAGAAAACCAGUUUUCCGAAGAUAGGGAUCAGAUUAGGGAUCUGUUAGUUCUUCUUUACAGUGUUGAAGGGACUGCUGUAAGGUACACUGCUGUGUUUGUGUGACGGGUAGAGCAUUUGCUACGAGCCCUCCCUGUUCGGUCCGACCAUUCACACUUGCCCUUUUGGCUAACCAUGUGAAACUGAAAUACUGUGCAACGCUUUUACUGUUUGUUCCCAGGUAUUCUUUUUACUCUGUAAUAGUAUGUAUUUUUGCCUUCCAUGAAAUGCCUUUUUUUUUGAAAUGCCUCUUUUUAAAUAUGUUAUUGUGAAGAUUAAGCUGGUAAGUUAUUUGUUGGCAAUAAAAUAGCCUUCAAGAUGGA